UCACAACAAUAGUAACCGAAUGUGGAGAAAAAAGGAAGCAACAGAGCAGAAAAACAUCAAUACAAUAUAGAUUAUAUUUUGGCUGAUAAAUUAUUUAUUGUCAUUACAUUAUAAAGUAAACUUGUCAAACUAGUUUGACAACACGAACAAGUUGUGAAUGAUCAAUGAUUUGAAGCUAACUUCCUAAUUUCGCAGUUGUUAUUACAAAAAGAACGUAAAGAUUCGUAGUUAUAAGAAACUUCAGAAACUAAAUAUUUAAGAAAAAUGUAUUUUAAACUAUUAGUUUUGGUGUUUUGUUUGCUUGCCAUCAACAAUGUUGAAGCAUCACAAGGGUACGAUUUUGGCGAUUUUCUAGCAACUGUGUUAGGUAUUGGUAUCGCAGUAACUGGUAUUCUCGCAUGUUUAGGAAAUUACGCUCGUCAAAAGGCAAGGAACGAAUUUAUUUAAAUCUUUUAUUAUAGUCUCUUCUAACCACAAGGAAAGAUGAGAAAUUAUUUAUAAUACCAUGGCACCAAAGGCGUUUGAAUAUUUGCAAGUUGCAGUCUGUAGGUCUUGUUAUAGCACAAAUCAUUAACAUCAUGUCAGAUUUGUAACUUACUGAUUAUAUUAUUAUCUAUUGUC